rnacentral:rRNA from 1 species
UGCGUAGGUGGUGAGGUAAGUCGGAUGUGAAAGCUCGGAGCUCAACUCCGAAAUGGCAUUGGAAACUACCUUGCUAGAGGGUUGGAGGGGGGACUGGAAUGCUUGGUGUAGCAGUGAAAUGCGUAGAUAUCAAGCGGAACACCAGUGGCGAAGGCGAGUCCCUGGACAACUCCUGACACUGAGGCACGAGAGCUAGGGGAGCAAACA